AAGAUGCUUGACAUUUGCCCUUAAUGGUCAUUGUCUUCAAAUGCAUCAUUCGGGAGUGAAGUUGCUUGGCAUUUGCAGUUGACUACUUCUUCUCUGGCCUUUGGAGUGAAGGAAGGGAAAAACCAGAGUUGAAGAUGUCAGCUCUGUAAGUUUUCUCUGGGUGAUCAAAGCAUGCACAACAUCCUGUGCUUGUGCUCUGGAAGAUUCUAGGAGCUUCACGGGGACUCAGGGAGCACAAGUUCUGGAUUUCUGUGGGCUGUCUCUAGAUGAACACCUGAGUGCAGUGAAUCUAAAAGCAGCUGUCUCUCAUUUGAAGUUAAAGUGAUGUGACUGAUCUGGUGCUUUAUAGGUGCCAAAAAGGAGACCUUCUUCACCUGCUUCUCCUGUGCAAGCUCUUCUGUCUGUCUGCUGAGAUGUUUCUGCCUGUUUCUCUGGCAGAGAAGUGUUUGCUUUUUGGGCUGGCGAGCUGACCAUCCGUACUACCGUCGCCUUGAAUGCCUCCAACCAGCAGUGUUUGCUGCCAGACAGACACCUGGAGAAGACAGAGGACAUGGUUAAGUUCAUGAAGGAUAUCUUGGAUGGUGCUGCUGAAGCACAGGCUGGUGAUGGACUUCUGCAACGAAGCAAGAGAGUCAUCUAUGAGGCCAAGGCUGCUGUAAUGGUAGAGUUCAUUGCUUAUUCAGUGAGGUGAUGCUCUUGUCAGUCAAGAAGGACUUAGUUGCAGAGGCUUUAGAAAUGCUUUGAUGUAAGCUUGUUGCUAUGCUGUGCCUAGUGUAUCUAUUGUCACUAUUUAGAACUAGGCUUAAACCAAAUGAACUUCUGGAUUAAAACAGCCAAUCAUGUCUGCCACA